UCGACACGCUUGGUGAAGCAUACGACUUCUAUAAUUUAUAUUCAUGGGAAAAAGGCUUUGGCAUUCGGUAUGGAAAGAGGGAAGCCAAUUGUGGAGAACACGCGGUCUUGUCGCUGUCAGUGCCCCGCACUAGUAAGGCUGUUGCGUUCAAAGGAUAAUGGAUGGUACAUAGCGGAGCACCGGGAUGUGCACAGCCAUGCAUUGUCACACACAUAUGGACAGACACUCCAUUGGCCAUCGCACAAGCAUAUUAAUCAAUACAGUAGGGACCUUGUGAAGCAGCUGAGGCAAAAUAAUGUGAAUCUGGCAAAAGUGUACAGUAUCAUCAGAAGCUUCUUUGGGAAGAUGGAGAAUGUACCAUUCACGAAGAGGGCUCUGCGGAAUCUGUGUGGGAAGAUUAGCCGGGAACAGUCAGAAGACGAUGUGAGGAAAACAAUGGAAGUAUUC
rnacentral:rRNA from 1 species